rnacentral:rRNA from 1 species
UACGUAGGGUGCAAGCGUUAAUCGGAAUUACUGGGCGUAAAGCGUGCGCAGGCGGUUUUGUAAGUCUGGCGUGAAAGCCCCGGGCUCAACCUGGGAAUUGCGAUGGAGACUGCAAGGCUUGAAUCUGGCAGAGGGGGGUAGAAUUCCACGUGUAGCAGUGAAAUGCGUAGAGAUGUGGAGGAACACCGAUGGCGAAGGCGGUUGCCUGGAGCUUUGCUGACGCUGAUGCGCGAAAGCGUGGGGAGCGAUCCGG